CUACGGGAGGCAGCAGUAGGGAAUCUUCCACAAUGGACGCAAGUCUGAUGGAGCAACGCCGCGUGAGUGAAGAAGGCUUUCGGGUCGUAAAACUCUGUUGUUGGAGAAGGGUCGGCAGAGUAACUGUUGUCGGCGUGACGGUAUCCAACCAGAAAGCCACGGCUAACUACGUGCCAGCAGCCGCGGUAAUACGUAGGUGGCAAGCGUUAUCCGGAUUUAUUGGGCGUAAAGCGAGCGCAGGCGGUUUUUUAAGUCUGAUGUGAAAGCCCUCGGCUUAACCGAGGAAGUGCAUCGGAAACUGGGAAACUUGAGUGCAGAAGAGGACAGUGGAACUCCAUGUGUAGCGGUGAAAUGCGUAGAUAUAUGGAAGAACACCAGUGGCGAAGGCGGCUGUCUGGUCUGUAACUGACGCUGAGGCUCGAAAGCAUGGGUAGCGAACAGGAUUAGAUACCCUGGUAGUC
rnacentral:rRNA from 2 species